rnacentral:misc_RNA from 1 species
CGCAUCUUGCGCUCUUGGGUAAUCCCAUGAGCAUGCCUGUUUGAGUGUUGUGAAACCUCUCACUGCGUUGCUUUUACGAGCUACGUGGGUGGAUAGUGAGCGCUGCAGAAUGGAAGUUUCCUCUGCUUGCUCGAAAUAGAGUAGCCUGACGAACGUGCUCGACAACAGCCUGAUAAUUAUCUCGGCUGGAGUAGAAUACCAAAGUGGCUUCUAACAUGUGUUGAAACACUUUUUACCUUUAACCUCAAAUCAGGUAGGACUACCCGCUGAACUUAA